rnacentral:lncRNA from 1 species
GGGCAGUGGAGAUCUAAUAUGUAAACACUGAACUUAUGAUCAGCAAUUUCUUCACUGAACAAGCCUGUAUUUUGCUUUUCAAGCAGGGAAAGAGGCCAUUCGAUUCACAGAUUAUCAUGUGGAUCCCAAGACAAGCAUGACCGUGUUGACCAAAAGGAGAAGCCUGCAGCUUCCAGCUUUGCCCACCUUGCCCAGCCUGCAGUAUCAAUAAAAAGCACAAAGGUGACUUUGUGGGCUGUCCAACAGCCUGGACCAUAGAAACACUCAGAGAUGGGUCAAGAAGAGCAACAUUCACUGAUCUGAAUGUCUUUCCAAAUGUGGGUGUCAGAUCCUCUAUCGUGGGACACCACAUCCAGCCAUAGAGAACUUGCAGCAGCAGAAAAGUCCAUUGAUCCUGUCCACCUAGUAGGAAGGACAACUGAAAUUCUACUGGGUUAGGAUGGACAGAUUCCAUUGUGUUACUCUGGACGCACCCACACUGCUGACCAGGAAAAAGAAGCAUAGGCAUUUACACCAUUUCAUCAUACAAAACCACAUCCUCUUGGCCAGCUGUUUUACACAGAUCAGUUUGGGAAGGAUGCACUGGACACAGAUCUUACCUAAUGUGCCAGACUAUGAACUAAGUGGACCUUGGUCUGAGUCUAUUUGACGUCAUGGAGAAGGCUUGUUCUAACCUUGGAUUCAUCCAAAGUCUCUAAAAGGAGUUAUUUAAGUGGAGGUAAGCAAAACAACAAAGGGCACCUGCUUUCCCAUGUGUGUGUGUAUCCACAGACAAAAGAGGGAAGGGCAUGUGUCUGGACAGAAAUAUAUUCCCCUGUCUGACUUGAAAUCAAAGUGUGGAAUCCACUGCUAUUCAGAAAUAUAUUUUGAGUGAAUUUUUAAAAAGGGUUGGAUGAGUUCAUUGCUAUUUGUUGCAGCUACCCUCAAAUAAAUAUGUGACUAUCCUCUUUUCCA